UACGGAGGGGGCGAGUGUUGUUCGGAAUUACUGGGCGUAAAGGGCGCGCAGGCGGCUUGGCAAGUCGAGUGUGAAAUCCCUUGGCUUAACUGAGGAAUGGCGCUCGAAACUACCUCGCUAGAGGGCGGGAGAGGGAAGUGGAACUCUCGGUGUAGGGGUGAAAUCUGUAGAUAUCGAGAGGAACACCGGUGGCGAAGGCGGCUUCCUGGCCCGUACCUGACGCUGAGGCGCGAAAGCGUGGGGAGCAAACAGGAUUAGAAACCCGUGUAGUCC
rnacentral:rRNA from 1 species